AAAGCAUGCGCCAAAGCUUGUUGUUGGGAUAGUGCUUCUUGGAGCAGGGUGAGUUGCAUAGUGAAUAAUAUCUUUUCUCUUUGGUUUCUGUUUGCUAGAAAGUAAGAAAAUUCUGAUUUCCCAUAUGUUUGUAUAUUUAUGCUGGAUACUGUUAUAGUUUGUCAUAUUUUCUAUCUGUAUAAUCAAAUAACUG
rnacentral:sRNA from 1 species